rnacentral:tRNA from 1 species
GGCACUAUAGCUCAGUUGGUUAGAGCGGUACUCUCAUAAGGUACAGGUCGGUGGUUCAAGUCCACCUAGUGUCA